GUCGAGAAUUUUUCACAAUGGGCGAAAGCCUGAUGGAGCGACGCCGCGUGGGGGAUGAAUGGCUUCGGCCCGUAAACCCCUGUCAUUUGCGAUCAAACCUUACGACCCAAUACGUCGUGAGUUGAUGGUAGCGAAAGAGGAAGGGACGGCUAACUCUGUGCCAGCAGCCGCGGUAAUACAGAGGUCCCAAGCGUUGUUCGGAUUCACUGGGCGUAAAGGGUGCGUAGGCGGUCGGGUAAGUCUGACGUGAAAUCUCCAAGCUCAACUUGGAAAUGGCGUCGGAUACUAUCCGGCUCGAGGAAUGGAGGGGAGACUGGAAUACUUGGUGUAGCAGUGAAAUGCGUAGAUAUCAAGUGGAACACCAGUGGCGAAGGCGAGUCUCUGGACAUUUCCUGACGCUGAGGCACGAAAGCCAGGGGAGCAAACGGGAUUAGAAACCCCGGUAGUCC
rnacentral:rRNA from 1 species